CUUUCGUAGGUAUAUACACGUGAGAGAUCUACGCAGGAACGUAUAUAUCUUUAGCGAAACGACUUUCAGGGUAAAAGAGUACGUCGCUCAUAUUUCAAACAACUCCGUCAAUUAUCUAAUCUAGCGGCAUAUAGUCAUCUGCUUCCCCGACUAUUCAAAUCGUCGAGGCGCGAGAAGCUCCGUUGGUACAAAGCGUUCGACGGCGUUUAGAAACGUGCGAGGUGGACUCAACGCUAUCUAGUGGUAGCGCGCUAAUAGACGAGCGGUCAGCGAACGAGGAGAUAAGGAAAAAAAGAGAAAGAGAGAGAGUGAGAGUGAGAGAGAGGGAGACCGUCGUCCGUCAGACCGUGUAAACUCCGUGGGAGGACGAGAGGAGUGGAAUUGAUACGAAGGAGAGAUACGCGCCGGGAUCGAACCGGAAUAUCCAGGAAUAUCCGAGCGAUGCGCUGACCCGUGUCCUUCACGACGGAUCUCCGUCUUCGUCGUGGUCGGCGAGAUCGGCGCGAGACGUCCGGUGACGUUCGUUCGACCAAAUGUAAUUGCACCAUAAUGGUAUCUAGCAUCUAAAUGCUGCUAAAGGAGGAAGCAAGAGUUAGCAACAUGACUGAAGGUGCAGAGACUCAGCCAAAUGCGGGAAAUGAGCCCCAGGCGGAAGCCUUAGAA